GACGAACGCUGGCGUCGUGCUCAACACAUGCCUUUCUAACGGAUAGGCUCUGCUUUUGUUGGUUGCUCGAUUGGCGAUCGCGUGAUUAACACGUGAGUUACCUGCCCUUGUCUGUGGGUUAAUUUCAGUUAACUGGGGCUAAUACCGGAUACUAGCUUCUUCUGCCUGUUGGGGGUUAGAAUGUUUCGGCGGUUGGGGAUGUACUCGCGGCUUAUCAGCUUGUUGGUGGGGUAGUGGCUUAUCAAGGCUUUGACGGGUAGCCGGCCUGAGAGGGUGACCGGCCAAAUUGGGACUGAGAUACGGCCCAGACUCCUACGGGAGGCAGCAGUGGGGAAUAUUACACAAUGGGCGGAAGCCUGAUGCAGCAACGCCGCGUGCGGGAUGACGGCCUUAGGGUUGUAAACCGCUUUCGCCUGUGACGAAGCGUGAGUGACGGUAAUGGGUAAAGAAGCACCGGCUAACUACGUG
rnacentral:rRNA from 1 species